UGCCUGUGCACGUUGCCUGUCCCUGCAGCACAAAUACACGCAGCAUGAGUGUGAGCAGGGCCUGGUGCUGCCAUGCCUGCAAGGCUCCAAGCAGAUGAUGCAACUGGUGUCCUGCUCUGGAGCUGCUUCCACUGCUUGCUGAGGGCUGUGCUCUUGACAGAAGGAACUGGGGGAAGAUGGAAGGGAUGGGCAAGAUGAGAAGAGCUGUGAGGAGGGCAGAGGAAUGGGAAGGAGCCCCAGGCCUUGAGUAUGGCAGGCUG